GUUCUGGUGGCGCAAUUGGAAGACGCAGCUGCCUCAAAAACAGUUUUCGAAAGAAUUGUGAGUUCGAGUCUCACCCAGAACAUCA
rnacentral:tRNA from 1 species